rnacentral:rRNA from 1 species
CCCUUAGAUGUUCUGGGCCGCACGCGCGCUACACUGUUCGACGCAGCGAGUCUUAACCUUGACCGAAAGGUUUGGGUAAUCUUCAGCAAAGUCGAACGUGAUGGGGAUCGAUCAUUGCAAUUAUUGAUCGUGAACGAGGAAUUCCUAGUAAGUGCAAGUCAUCAGCUUGCGCUGAUUACGUCCCUGCCCUUUGUACACACCGCCCGUCGCUACUACCGAUUGAAUGGUUUAGUGAGAUCUCUGGAUUGACGCUGGCUAGGGGGCGACCCUUUGCCAGGCUGUCGAGAAACUGCUCAAACUUGAUCAUUUAGAGGAAGUAAAAGUCGUAACA